rnacentral:lncRNA from 1 species
CAUUUACUACAGAUAGGCAUCUUAAUAUAACUGACUUCUCCUUGAUCAGGUGCCAAAGGGGUUGCAGUGCCAAGACUGGGGCAGAGAGGAGACACGGCCAGGGACAGGACUGCGUGACCCAAGGCAGCAGUGAUCCACCCUAUACUCCUGACAGUCAUGGAGUCAUGCAAGAUGGAUACGCAGUGUGCUAGCACAUUCUGGCAGAGAUUCAUAUCAUACUGGGAACAAGUUGCCAAGAGAAGCUGUGGACUCUCCAUCCAAGACUUCGCUGGACAAGGUCCUGAGCAAUCCAGCACUCCCUUUGAAACUGGCCCUGCUUUGAGAAGGGGGCUGGACCAGAGGACCCUCCCCACCUCGACACACCAAAGGUCCCUUCCAACUUCAUUCUUUCUAUGAUUCUAUGUAUUUUUUAAUUUGACACUACCAGUUUGAGAGUCAUCAGUCUGAACGAGUAUCGUUUUCACAAAAUAGCUUUUCAGAUGAUUUUCUUGACAUUUUGCAAGCAUUUCACUUCUCUCCAGCUCUCUUUUGCCUUUAACAGCUUUCAUUUCAGUCUGAAUUGUCUUGACUUCGAGUAGUCUGUAUUUUUGCCAUAAUGGUUUCUACCACUGAUUAACUUUUUUGUUAAUAUUUUCAAACAUGUGUGUACUGUAGACAGCAGACUCUGCAUGCUCUGACAUGAGCAGCUAUCCUAGCUUGCCUUUUCUCCAGCCUAGCAUUUCUAUCCAAAAUAAUAUUAUCCUAGUAGGAU